rnacentral:rRNA from 1 species
CCUACGGGUGGCAGCAGUGGGGAAUUUUGGACAAUGGGGGGAACCCUGAUCCAGCCAUGCCGCGUGUGUGAAGAAGGCCCUCGGGUUGUAAAGCACUUUCAGUGAGGAAGAACGCCUGGUGGUUAAUACCCAUCAGGAAAGACAUCACUCACAGAAGAAGCACCGGCUAACUCCGUGCCAGCAGCCGCGGUAAUACGGAGGGUGCGAGCGUUAAUCGGAAUUACUGGGCGUAAAGCGCGCGUAGGUGGCUUGAUAAGCCGGUUGUGAAAGCCCCGGGCUCAACCUGGGAACGGCAUCCGGAACUGUCAAGCUAGAGUGCAGGAGAGGAAGGUAGAAUUCCCGGUGUAGCGGUGAAAUGCGUAGAGAUCGGGAGGAAUACCAGUGGCGAAGGCGGCCUUCUGGACUGACACUGACACUGAGGUGCGAAAGCGUGGGUAGCAAACAGGAUUAGAUACCCUUGUAGUC